CGUAGGUGAACCUGCGGAAGGAUCAUUCAUAAUAAGUGUUUUAUGGCACUUUUUUAAAUCCAUAUCCACCUGGUGUGCAAUGUCAGGGUGGAUUUUUCUCUUGGGAGGAUCAACACCAAGCUUCAACUAUAUCUCAACUCUUUGUCUGAAAAAUCUUAUGACUAAAACAAUUCAAAAUACAACUUUCAACAACGGAUCUCUUGGCUCUC
rnacentral:misc_RNA from 1 species